UCUGCCCGCUGGCGGCGUGCCUAAUACAUGCAAGUCGAGCGAACGGACGAGAAGCUUGCUUCUCUGAUGUUAGCGGCGGACGGGUGAGUAACACGUGGAUAACCUACCUAUAAGACUGGGAUAAAUUCGGGAAACCGGAGCUAAUACCGGAUGAUAUUUUGAACCGCAUGGUUCAAAAGUGAAAGACGGUCUUGCUGUCACUUAUAGAUGGAUCCGCGCUGCAUUAGCUAGUUGGUAAGGUGACGGCUUACCAAGGCAACGAUGCAUAGCCGACCUGAGAGGGUGAUCGGCCACACUGGAACUGAGACACGGUCCAGACUCCUACGGGAGGCAGCAGUAGGGAAUCUUCCGCAAUGGGCGAAAGCCUGACGGAGCAACGCCGCGUGAGUGAUGAAGGUCUUCGGAUCGUAAAACUCUGUUAUUAGGGAAGAACAUAUGUGUAAGUAACUGUGCACAUCUUGACGGUACCUAAUCAGAAAGCCACGGCUAACUACGUG
rnacentral:rRNA from 1 species